GCAUAUGCAUGUGCCUAUUAAGGAAUCAUAUGUCAUAUGUGUGUGCCAUGCAGCAUAUGUAUGUGUCUGUUCAAGAAUCGUCACUAGUACGCUUUUCUCUCUUGAUUGAUCACCCAUUGCAAGCUAGCUAAUAUUCUUUUAAGUGUUUGCUUUUUGUGUGUGAGGUCGUUCGUGGAUGCUGCAGGUUAGUGUUUACCUGAUAAGUUCGUUCAUGAUGUGUCGAACAAUGUUACAGUUGUGAGAUGAAACACUAGAUCCCUUAUACUAUGUGACUUACGUGGGAGUGCAACAGGUAAUUUAACAACUUCUAGUAUAAGGUAAAUCUGCUAUUGUCUUUUGGUCUUUAAAGGUCAAUUGAAUAACAUUGGAACUUGUUUUCUCAGGAAGGUAAUAUAUAUAUAGAUGACGUAUGUUCUCAAAUUGUAACAUUUUGAUUAUACUUCAGCUGAAGUGGUUAUUGAAGUUGUUUCUUUCUUUUCUUUACUUCCACCAGGAAGCACAUUCAUGGAUUGAUAGAUGUUUCAAACAAUAAUUAAUGGGGGAUUAGAAAAUGUUGUGAUACCAUAUGUCAGGCUACUCCAAGCAGUAUCCAUGUUGUCGUGUGAGGUACAUAUUCUAAGCAUCGUCUGUAUGGCUGUUUAAUAUUCUAGAAAUUAAAAGGUUGUGUUUCAUACUAGAGAGGGGCAUAGAAGGAGGUGAGAUGUCAUCAUCACAUAGUACUUAGCAUUUAUGUUUGAGCAUGUUGCUUAUGAUGUCCUUUUAGUCUUUUUUUCUGAUGCAUUAUUAGAGUUGUACAUAAAAUUUAAGAUUAUCACGUCUAAUUAGCU
rnacentral:lncRNA from 1 species